rnacentral:lncRNA from 1 species
UCCUAUCUGUAUACACACACACACUUGCCGAGUAAGGGUGUCCAUCCUAUCUGUAUACACACACACACUUGCUUUUCCAUGUCCAUCCUAUUUGUAUAUAUGCACACACACGCGUGCACACCCAUGUCCAUCCUAUCUGUAUAUACGCACACACACACUUGCACACCCAUGUUCAUCCUAUCUGUAUAUAUGCACACACACACUUACACACCCAUGUCCAUCCUAUCUGUAUAUGCACACACACUUGCACACCCAUGUCCAUCCUAUCUGUAUACAUGUGCACACACACUUGCACACCCACGUCCAUCCUAUCUGUAUACACAUGCACACACUUGCACACCCAUGUCCAUCCUAUCUGUAUAUAUGCACACACACUUGCACACCCACGUCCAUCCUAUCUGUAUACAUGCACACACACUUGCACACCCAUGUCCAUCCUAUCUGUAUACACACACACUUGCACACCCAUGUCCAUCCUAUCUGUAUAUACUCACACACUUGCACACCCAUGUCCAUCCUAUCUGUAUAUACUCACACACACACUUGCACACACAUGUCCAUCCUAUUGUAUAUAUGCACACACACUUGCACACCCAUGUCCAUCCUAUCUGUAUACACGCGCACACACACUUGCAUACCCAUGUCCAUCCUAUCUGUAUACAUACACUUGCACACCCAUGUCCAUCCUAUCUAUAUAUACACACACACUUGCACACCCAUGUCCAUCCUAUCUGUAUGCACGCACACACACACUUGUACACCCAUGUCCAUCCUAUCUAUAUAUACACACACACACUUGCACACCCAUGUCCAUCCUAUCUGUAUAUACGCACACACACACUUGCACACCCAUGUCCUUCCGCUCUGUGGCACAGAGUCCUGCCCCUUCUCCCCUUGCACCUACAGAGUGCUCACCUCCCCUCAGCCCCUCCAGCCUCUGAGCCCUGACACUCCCUGGAUGUGGAAGGGCUUCUCCAGGGAGCCCACCCCUACUGCCUGCAGGCCAGCCUCACAGCCCCCCCUGCUGUCCCCGUGGUUCCCUGCACCUCUACGGGCCCCUCCCACCUCCUCAGAGCCGGAGGCCUCCGGGGACCCCCACCCCCACCCCUCUGAGGAUCUCCCAGGCUCUGGCAGCCCCAGCCCUGACUUCUCCGGGAUCUCUGUGCAGGGGUGCGGGUGCAGGCAGCCCACCCACAAAAGCAGGACAGA